AUGAACGCUGGCGGCGUGCUUCACACAUGCAAGUCGAACGAGAAGUGGAGACGGAAACCUUCGGGCGGAAGACUUUAUUUCGAGUGGCGGACGGGUGAGUAACGCGUGGGUAACCUGCCUCAUACAGGGGGAUAACAGUUGGAAACGACUGUUAAUACCGCAUAAGACCACAGCACCGCAUGGUGCGGGGGUAAAAACUCCGGUGGUAUGAGAUGGACCCGCGUUCGAUUAGCCAGUUGGCGGGGUAACGGCCCACCAAAGCGACGAUCGAUAGCCGAUCUGAGAGGAUGACCGGCCACAUUGGGACUGAGACACGGCCCAAACUCCUACGGGAGGCAGCAGUGGGGAAUAUUGCACAAUGGGGGAAACCCUGAUGCAGCGACGCCGCGUGAGUGAAGAAGUAUUUCGGUAUGUAAAGCUCUAUCAGCAGGGAAGAAAAUGACGGUACCUGAGUAAGAAGCCCCGGCUAACUACGUG
rnacentral:rRNA from 1 species